rnacentral:rRNA from 1 species
CUCCGGUGAAUCCUGCCGGACCUGACUGCUAUCGGAUUGGUACUAAGCCAUGCGAGUCAUUGUAGCAAUACAAGGCGGACGGCUCAGUAACACGUAGUCAACCUAACUCGUGGACGUGGAUAACCUCGGGAAACUGAGAAUAAACCACGAUAGAUCAUAGUGCCUGGAAUGGCUUAUGGUCCAAACAGUUUACUGCCAUGGGAUGGGACUGCGGCCUAUCAGCUUGUUGGUGAGGUAAUGGCCCACCAAGGCGAUUACAGGUACGGGCCCUGAGAGGAGAAGCCCGGAGAUGGGUACUGAGACACGGACCCAGGCCCUAUGGGGCGCAGCAGGCGAGAAACCUUAGCAAUGCGCGAAAGUACGACUGGGUCAGUCCGAGUGAUUCCUGAUAAAGGAGUCUUUUGCUUGUCCUAAAAGCACAGGUGAAUAAGGGGUGGGCAAGUCUGGUGUCAGCCGCCGCGGUAAUACCAGCACCUCGAGUGGUCAGGACGUUUAUUGGGCCUAAAGCAUCCGUAGCCGGCUCUGCAAGUCUUCGGUUAAAUCCACCUGCUCAACAGAUGGGCUGCUGGAGAUACUACAGAGCUAGGGAGUGGGAGAGGCAGACGGUAUUCAGUGGGUAGGGGUAAAAUCCUCUGAUCCAUUGAGGACCACCAGUGGCGAAGGCGGUCUGCCAGAACACGUUCGACGGUGAGGGAUGAAAGCUGGGGGAGCAAACCGGAUUAGAUACCCGGGUAGUCCCAGCUGUAAACGAUGCAAACUCGGUGAUGCAUUGGCUUAUGGCCAAUGCAGUGCCGCAGGGAAGCCGUUAAGUUUGCCGCCUGGGAAGUACGGACGCAAGUCUGAAACUUAAAGGAAUUGGCGGGGGAGCA